rnacentral:rRNA from 1 species
UACGUAUGGUGCAAGCGUUAUCCGGAUUUACUGGGUGUAAAGGGAGCGUAGGCGGCGCGUUAAGUCUGAUGUGAAAACCCGAGGCUCAACCACGGGAGUGCAUUGGAAACUGGCGAGCUGGAGUGCCGGAGAGGUAAGCGGAAUUCCUAGUGUAGCGGUGAAAUGCGUAGAUAUUAGGAGGAACACCAGUGGCGAAGGCGGCUUACUGGACGGCAACUGACGCUGAGGCUCGAAAGCGUGGGGGGCAAACAGG